GGAUGUGUGCCUGAAUAAAGGACUACUUUGAUAGAGUAGAACAUAGAAGCCUAAAUCUUCUCACCUCCU
rnacentral:tRNA from 1 species